UAUCAAUUAUAAUUAUAUAUGUAUAAUCAAAGAUCCAAGAUAAAGGUUAUCUUAAGCAUUUUUUGGCAAAAACUCAUUGAGUAAAAAUCAAUUUUUAUUUAAAUAAAAGCUAUGAAUAAAUGUGAAAGAAAUUAUCCAAAACACGAUAUGAUUGAAAAAUAUUAGUUUUUAAUUGUUCUGAUUACGAAUAACCAUUACGAAUGAUUAAAAUUUCCUUUUGGUUAGGAACGACCAUUGUCAACGAAGGCAUUUCAAUUUUGGAUACCAGUAACCAAUAUAAAUGACUGCAAUUUCUUUUGGUAACCAGCAACUACUAUCGAUAGUAUGCAUUUUGUUUUGGUUGCCGGUAACUAUUAUCGAUGGCAACAAAUGCUUUUGGUUACCGUCAAUUAAUAUUGUCGACAACAUUUUUUCUGGUUACAUUUGACUAUUGUCAGUUGUUAUUAACAUUACUGAUAAUCCGUAUUCAUUGAUAACAUGAAAUAUCUAAAUGAUGGAACUUAUGCAUCUUAUAAAGCGAAGAAAUUGCAUGAAAAUAUAUGAAACAAAGAAUAGUAUAAAAGAUAUUGUAGUUUAGAUAUUUUUAUUAACACAUGCAUUAAUAAUGCACAUUGUACUACAAUAUCUUUUAGAUUACUCCUUGUUUCAUAUACCUUCAUAUCGUUUCUUUGCCUAAUAAAAUACAUAAUAUCUACAAUUAAUUUUUUUAUAUCCUCAGUGAAUAGGUAUUAAUUGUAAGUACUGUUAAUAACAAUUGGCAAUAGCCGAUUGUAACGAGAGAAAUUUUGUACCGCCAAUAAUAGUUAUCGGUAACUAAAGUAAAGUGCGGCUCAUCGAUAAUAAUUACUAAUAACCAAAAAAGUUAUAAUCAUUUAUAUUGGUUAUUGGUAAACAGAAUUAAAUUUCCGUCAUCAAUAAUGAUUAUUCCAAAUUAAAAUUCUUUAAUUAAAGAUAUUAAUCUCAUUCGAACGAGACCUUAUACUGUAACUUUUAAAAUUUGUUUUAAUAACGAUUAUAAUGCCUCUAUAUAUCUUAUAGCCAAGAGUAUAUAUGAACGCUGGUACAUGUAACAAAUUGAUUUUGGAUGUAAGUAUCGAGGAAUAAGGUAGCGUGUUUGCUUUGUUACAUGUAGUAAAAAUUGGUUUACUCUAUUGUAUUAACUUUACUGUAAUAACGUUAUCGUAUUAAUACGAUUAUUUUAGGUACAUAAAAUGACAAAUAUUGUAUGUAUGACAUAAAAUUAUAAUAGCGAUACUUCAUUAAAAACUAUUCACACACCUACGUUAAAGGAAUUUUCUGUUUUUAAGACACCACAACGAAAAGACUAAAAAUGACAGCGAUAUAACCUCCAAUCUACAAUGCGACAUAAUACCGUUCAGGAAAACAAAGAGGAAAAGAGAAUCGAACUUUUUGGCACGUUAUGUUGAUAUUGGUAACGUAGUAAUAUUGUGACACAGAUCGUGAAUGGAAGUGUAUAGUAUAUAAAAAGAUAGAUUUUUAGGUUAUGUCGAAACGAGAUUAACGUUAGGUAUCACGCGAGCUGCUGUAUAAGGCGAUUAAUUACAGUAAAUCCUGCGAAGUACGCCAUUUCUUUAGGAAAUUGCAAGACAAGAUAGAAAUAGGCAGAGGCAAAGGAAUGCGAAAUUCCUUGAAGGAAGUCGUUGUAACACGAAUCGUGUGUAUUCUGUGUAAAAGUAGAUUUUACUCAAUGCACAUGCCGGGCAAAAGAGGCGGGCAAAGAACUGGAAUGCUCAGAAUGUUAAUCGUUUAAUGGGAUAUAAUCGGUUAAUGGGAGUCUGCAUUCAACCGAAGCCUUCCAUACAAGCCGGAUGAUCGCGUUUCGACCCCUCGUGCGACUUCAUUUUUCAUCACGACAAUAAAGAUUAGCUUGUCGUUAAAGGUGAAUUAUUAAGACUAUUAUGAAGCAAGUUGGAAAGCGAGAUAUCGUUACAUGUAUACAAUAGGCGAGUACGGUGGCUGUGAAGAAUAUCCGCACAACAUUGUAUUUAUUAUAGCAUUCACACUAAUUAAUCAGUCCCAAGUAUAUAUUUAUAUAUUUUAUGUAAUUUCGGCUUUAGGGUCGAAAAAUGGACUUGAUUUUAUAAUAUUUUUGAAAACUCGUAUAUACUUAUAUCUUUCUCAUACUUUGGUUUUAGACAUCGAGUUUGUAAAACUGAGCCUAUUCUUAUAUAUAGGGUGCAACAGAACAUAUAAUAGAAACAAUAGAAAACGUUCCUAUAGACAUAUCCGUUUUCGUCUACGAGAUACAACGAACUUUUCUCUUGAUUUCGUGUUAUCCAAUUACCUUUACAGAAGAUACUGAAGAAAAUGACCACCUUGCGUUUUAAGGCAAGCCUGUAGACGUCUUGUUAUAAACCCGGUUACACUCUGAAUGGUUCCUGAUGUUUGCCGGAUUUGUUGGGAAGCUUAUUCAACAUCUUCAAUAGGUUUAGUGUUUAUGAAAAUUCGUUGUGUCUCAUAAGCGAAGACAGAUAGACCAUAUAUUUAUAUGAACUUUUUUCAUUGCUUCUCGUCACAUCACCCUGUAAGAUAUUAGUGACUACAAUGCAUGUAUUUUAUAUACAUAUAUAAAUUAUAUAAAUAAAGUACAUUGUAGUUAUUAAUAUCUUAUCAGAUUCUUGUUUAUAUCUUAUCCUUCUUAAUAACUUAUCUUAUCCUAUAAUAUCGAAUUCUAUUAACAUCUGUCGUUUUAUCACUACAGUUUACCCUCUUAUUUUUAUAAUCUUAUUAGAUUAUCUCUGUAUAUAUUCUCUGUUAGUUCUCUGUCGAUUAUCUCUGUAUACAUGUAAUUAUAAUAAAUAAAUAUAUAUAUAUGUAUAGAAGUAUAUAUAACUAUAUAUAUGUAAAAUAUUAUGUACGUGCAUAUAUAAUGUUCGAUUUACGAUAACUUAAUUUCUCAUUCUCGGUUAACAGAUUGAUGAUAGCUUUAAGCUGGCAGAUUUCUCCAUCAUUUUUAUGCAAAUGCGACUCCUUUCAGCGUGCAGCUAACAUUUAAUCCGACCCCGUGUCGCAUGCAUGAUAAAUAAGCGCACGUUGUAGUUACAGGUCGUAAUUAUCGCGGAGUAUCAUUCUUUCGUGCCAAGAAGAGACCGACCUCGCCGCACUGUUCGGCUUUUCCUAUUCUUACAAGGGACCCACACAUUGUUCUAGACUGGCAGAAUACCAACAUCGUCUCGUGUUUCCCACUGGGACACAACGAUACCUCAUAGCUGGAAAUAAUACGCAUCCACUGCUUCCUGUCGCUUUAAAACGAUUUACUGUACCUUUUCACUUGGGUCUUGCCUAUCUAGUCUACAGAACAUGUUCGAAAUAAGUACGUACACUCCUGUUUGUAAACAAAAUAGAGCCCCAUUCACUCGAACACCUAUUAGCCUAAGAACUGAAUCGAAAUUUUGAAUUAAUUAAGAACAGAUGCGAUAGAGAAAUCAAUAUCAAUUAUGAAAAGUAACUUCCUUUAUUUCGAUAGACUUUUGACGAAAGACUCUUCUAAGGUAAAUACGUAGCAGUUUGUUAAACAGAGUUUUUCAUCUACCGCAUUGUGCUGAAAUUCCUCUGCACCAUUUCAAUUUGUAAUUCUUAUUAAAAGAAUUAAAAAGCAAUAUUAAUGAUACACGCGUUUCCAAGUAUCUUUUAAUUGUUACUGAAAAUGGCAACGCCUGUAAUACGUAAUUUAAGGAUUAUGGCAUCUCGUUUGUUCGCGACUCAUCCUCAUUAAUCUUCACGCCUCUUUUCCCAUGGCUGCCAUUAUUCCUGGCAUUAGGAGCACGUUGUUAAUCGCGAUAUUGUAUCAUUUCCUCGUUAAUUGCGUUAAUUGACUCUGGUCCGCCUGGAGUGUACUAUUAUUUUAUUCAAUUCCAGCGUCAAAGCCUAUGAUCUGAUACGAUUAGUAAUGGAUUCUCUAUUAAUCAGGUUCAAAUGGCUGUUGAAAUUCAAUCGAGAGAAAGAGUGAGAAAGGAAACCGAUAUGAUAAAAACAAAUGAAAAUUUCUCUUAGAAACUCGUUGGAAAAUAAUUAACGACUCUCGAUCUUCUGUACGUUCUGGUCUAAUUAAAACAUCCCAGCGCAAAGAAAUAUCCUAAUAUGUUCUUCUUUUCUACUUUUGAGAUUUUAGAGCGAUUGUCAUAUAGACAAAUUUAAAUAAUAAAAAGCAGCAGGCAAAUUGUGAAAGCAAACGCCGAAGUGGAUGUAAAAAGAUUGCGCUGCUUCGUACAAAGCGUGCAACGAGAAUUAAAGUAAUUUGUCUAGAACACCAAGAUAGCACAGUAUCAUUUAGGGCAAUGUGAUAUUAAUUACUAGCAAUAAGGAUAGUAAUAAGACCCAGAGGGAUAGUACAAAUUAAGACUACGUACAAGAAAGAUUGUUACUUAUACAGAGUGUGCCAAACUUAACUCUCCACCUACAACAUUAUUUUUACUGACGUUGUCUAGCAGUUGAUCUUUGUAUGUCCUUUACGUAUUCACCUACGAAACAGCUAAUAUGUAGUACCAAAUCUUGGUCUCUUUGACGCCAUUUAACUCUUCUUACUAUAAUAGGAAGGUUUCUUCAUAGAGCGAGUAAUUUUGUAAUAUUUAGAAAUCAUGAAGUUAGUCAGCUUCGCCCUACUUAGAGUCGGUUACUUCACUUGCUAAGAAAUAAUUUCCUGUUUCCUCGUUAAUGCCACGCUAUUUUCCUUCUAUAUAUUCGCCUGUGAAAUACGAACACAUAGUAAGUAGUAUCGAUGCAAGGGCCAAUGGUACUGUAACAUCAUUUUCCAAGAGAACGGUUUAGUUCCUUUUUCAAAGUUGAUGCCCGCGAUGUUAAUACGACAGAGUAAAAAAACUGACCUUUUGGCUUUGAUUUUCAGGUUCAAGGACAACGUUGCGCGAGCCCUUCGGCUGAAAUCUCCGUCAAACCGAAGAUGGUAGAGUCGUCAGACAGUCAGACUUAUGAUGACUUUUAUCGACAAUAUUUACACACCCUGUACAUUAGAAAAACGACUUUGUAGACCUUGGUAUUUUCGCGGCGAUCAACUUCAACGCUUCGAUAACGGAACAGAAAAGAAGAAAAGAACGAAUUAAAAAUAAUUGAAAGAAAGGAAGAAGAAGGAGGAAGGCAAAGUUCACGGUUCGAGUGAUCGACGAGUUUCACCGUUCCGCUUUGUGUUCCCAUCCACUUCCGGGCUUUCAGAGGACGGGGAAAACAGAGCAGGAAGAUCUGUCUUCGUAUCAAGAUUUAAAAUUCCGUCUGGCGCUUUACAAGGAGACAGUCAAUACGAAGGUAUUACAGGGAACAGAGGCAGAUAUAGGAAAAAGAAUAAUGGAGUAUGCACAGGGGAUCUACCGGUAGUUUUCUAUUUCUUUCCUCGUUGAAACGUUCCUCCUACAGUAUCGUCGAGGAACGGUAUCGGUUCUAACUACUCUUCGCUGAUCCAUCGAGCCUUUACAGAAGUAAAUUUUAUUUUAAACAGGAUAGAUAGCUAGGUACAUGGUAAUUACGAAGGAAGAGUUAAAUAACGUGAUGUAAUAAAAUAAAAUAGCAACGUAAUACGAGCAGUUGAUGUUAAAACGGGUGUUUACAGUGUUCUUUUUUUGGAAUUUAUUAUAGUUUAAUGUUUCUUUUAUUGAGAAUAUUUUUCCUUUUUAUAAAGGAUUUUAUAAGAUCUUGAAGAUCUUAUAAUCUAUAAUCUUAUAUUAUUAUAUAAUCUAUAAUAAUAUAAAUCUUAUAAUCUUUAUAAGAAGAUUUUUAAAGAAAAUUUUAUAAAGACGUUCUCGUUUUCAGUAAGUUUCUGGAAACGAUUUAUGAUCACCGACAAUGGUUUGUCUGAGGUCGGACACUCGAAUAAGCUACUUUAAGUAGAAUGUUACCGCACGGUCGUACAAACCUAUUUUAUUUCUGUGCCACAACACCGACUGUAUCCUAGACAAGUUGCUUUGUGAAAUUGCUCUUCAAAAUCUUAUAUGUACUUAGUAAAGAGAGGAUUUUAUACCAUUUUAUUACCUUAGUAACUUAUUACAUGCAAAUUGAUUUGGAUUAGAACAAUUAUGUUGGUGUACGUGGUAACAGAGGCGAUGCAAAAGAACAUUUCCGACUCUGCUCGAAUGCGUUCCAAGUAGGUUGGCAAGUAUACCGGGGCACGCUGGCUUUUGACCCACUUUGAGCUUCGCAAGCUCUCCUAACCUUAAAACAAGCACUGCUAUUCCAGUCUAUACUGCUUCUAAUACAUUACAUGUUACUUGACUGCAGUUUUAGCAUGCUGCAUGCGAGGCCUAUCAAAUUACUAAGGAGGAAGUUUUAAUUCUCUUCGAUCAUCGUUUUCGAUAGAACUAACUUUUCGAUUGAAUAACGAGGUUCUUUCGGCCUGUAAUAGUCCAAAGGCUGCUGAAACAAGGCCUCUAAAUCGAUCAUGAUUCCAAUAAAUCAUAGAUCCUUGGAUUUGAAACCUUAGGCGAAGAAGAUACAGCUAGGUUAUAGGUUAGGUUAUGAAUUGAUAACUGCAAUUGUAUAAACUAUAGUCUAAUAAAUGUGCACAUAUGUAUACGUACAUACGUACAUAUAUGUAUAUAUACAGGGUGUUCCAUCUAUCUUUUCCAGCCUUACUUACUUUCCUAUUUGUGACGAUACAGAAAAUGUUUGAGACAAAAGUUGUACGAUAUAGAAGGUGACAUAUUGUGCUUUUACCUUUUAUUUUUAAAUGUAUACCCCCAUAUUUUUGUUACACAUUCUUGCAGCUGACAUUUAGACGUCUUCGAAAUGCUAUAAACUCGUGCCUUUUGAAGUGUCCGUAAUCGAGAUAUGAACUUUAAAAUCCGAUAUACCGCCGGCAUUAGAAUUACCCGACGUACACCACGACGCGACACAUAAAGAUGUUCUUCAUAAUGCUACUAUGAAACUUCUGGCGUGUCCAAAAUGGUCGAUCGUUUCCAAGUAGUCACUUUUGGGCAAUUAUACCUUGUAUUGCUCUGUCGAAUUUGAGAGUUUACAUCUCGGCAGCGAAUGCAGCAAAAGGCACGAGUUUGCAGUGUUUUGAAAACUAAAAGAGUAUGUAACGAGAAAUGGAGGCAUCCGUUUUAAAAAUCUUAAUGUCAGCUUUGCUGGACGUUUCAAGGUCGUCGCAAGGUGAAAUGCAUGAAAGCACGGUACCUCAUCCCCGACAUCAUACAGUUCUCUUCUGACACAUUUUUUUGUUUCAAAUAAGGGUAAUUAAGGGUGACAGGGUAAGGUUAGGUGUAUAUAGGGUGGUUGGUAACUGGUGGUACAAGCGGAAAGGGGGUGAUUCUACGCGAAAAAAGAAGUCGAAAAUAUAGAAUAAAAAUUUUUCGUUCGAGGCUUUGUUUUCGAGAAAAUCGACUUUGAAUUUUCGCUCGGUACGCGUGCACUUUGUCACGUCUCGUUAUAACGGCUCCCCCUGUAGAUCGUUGUCUCGAUGGAAAAAUUAAAAAAAAAUUGUUAUUCUAUAUUUUCGACUUCUUUUUUCGCAUAGAAUCACCCCCUUUUCGCUUGUACCACCAGUUACCAACCACCCUGUAUACAGGGUGUAUCUUAGUUAAAUGGGAUCACGUAAGCUUCUUAGGGCAAAAUCACAAUAUUUCAAGGGGCAUAUAAUGGUGGAAAGAAUCUGUUCGCAAGUUCGUCUCUUUUGUGCAGUUUUCUUUGAUUAUUAUCAGAAGUUCAAAGCUAUUCUACGUUUCCAUGUGCUCCUCAACAAAUCAUAAUUAUCUGGCAUGAAGCUAUGCUAUGGUGAACCAAGUUAAUGAUCAUCGUGACGUAGAAUGUGGAUUUUGAUAUUUUAUAUUCUAGAGAAAUAUGUUUGUUUUAAUAAUUGUUCUAUCAGGAAAGAUACUACGUUUAUAUUAUUGUAAUUAUAGUACAUAUCUGUAUAGUAAAUGAAGAUAUAGAUAUGUUUAGAUAGGCGUUGAAUUAGAAUUUAGCUUCAAGGAAUAAAUUACGAUAGAAACAAAAUGCAUAAAGCGUGCACAUACACAAAAAAAUUAUAUACAGGGUGGUUGGUAACUGGUGGUACAAGCGGAAAGGGGGGGGGGGAUUCUACGCGAAAAAAGAAGUCGAAAAUAUAGAAUAAACAUUUUUUUUUUAAUUUUUCCAUCGAGACAACGAUCUACAGGGGGAGCCGUUAUAACGAGACGUGACAAAGUGCACGCGUACCGAGCGAAAAUUCAAAGUCGAUUUUCUCGAAAACAAAGCUUCAAACGAAAAAUUUUUAUUCUAUAUUUUCGACUUCUUUUUUCGCGUAGAAUCAUCCCCUUUCCGCUUAUACCACCAGUUACCAACCACCCUGUAUAUAAUACAUAAUACUCGAUACGAUGAAUAUAUGCAUUACGAUAUAGUAUGAUAUACAAUUUCAAAUACAGCAGAAUUUCAAUUAUUGGCUCGUACCGAUCAUGGACAAAAUAUAAAUAGUAUCAAAUUUGAACACGAGCGUCAGUUUCGUUUUCUAAGACGGAGCGCGAAUUUUUCUUUAAAGAAGAAUUAAUAAAUCAAAUCGAUAGAGGGCUGGAGCAAUAAACGAAGUUCUUCGUGUUCAUUCAGGUUCGUAAUUGGCUCCUCGUGCUAUGGCGAGAACUAUUUCCGGGCCACUUGAUUUUCGCGUGUAUAUCACGGACACUUGAAGGGAAAAGUUUGCUUCAAGGUAACUGGAGCAGGGAAUGAAACAUGGCAGGUAUUUUUAGAAGAUUGUAAACGAAUAAUUUUCGAUUACAACUAAGAAAACAGCGUUUUGUUCUUAAACCUGAGAGGAUAGAAUAUUGUUCUUAUUUAUAUAGGAUCUUUCAUUUAUAUAGGAUGGACCAAAAGUCACGUCACACGUGUGAAUCUCUCAAACGACAAAAUUUUCAACGAAGAGCGUCUUUAUCAGACUACGGACUUUUAUGAAAAUUUAUAUUAUAACUUAGUAAGAGACUUCUAUCAACUUCUGUCCCGAGAUAGAUUUACGACAAGAUUCAGAAUCAGACACACGAAUACCCCCUAAAAAAAAAAGACAGAAUCUCCAAUUUGCAGCUUAUGCAAUCAGAUAAUAACCAUCAUAUACCUGCAAUAUGAAUGUAACAUGUAGAGAAUAACAUGUAUAAUAAAUAAAAAAUACAAUCGUACUUGUAACUAACAGUUAAUUUCAUUAUCUUGAAUAAUGUAUUUAGGCUUGUCCAAAUAACAAAUAAUUUAUUCCUGUUUUUCAUUUGGACUUUCAUGUAACAAAUAAAAUUUAUUCAAUAAUGUCCAACAUUGCAUACAACGUACCUACUCUACUAUUUCAAUGGUUAAACUUUUUUCUACUUCUUUAUUUUGUACUCUCUUUAUGUAUUUUCAAGAAAAUAUACUUCCUUCUAUAUUUCCAGUCCUACGAGUUAAAGAAAUAAUCGCUAAAAUUAUCAUGUGGGUAAACGUCCACUCGUUGUUUAGUACAACAGAAAGAAAUACAAAUCAUUACUUUUGCCUUUCUCUGAAUAAAAGAAAAUUUCUCUAUCAUCCCAAAGACCAUAAGAAAAAUUGAGAUAUUCGUUUGGAACAUAUCGUGUAAAAAAUUCAUGUGAAGAUGAAAAAUUAUCGAUGAAAAGAGUACGAAUAAAUCUUCUACGAAAUAUCUUCAAAUAAAAUCUUUAAAAGGAAUCAUCAAACAGAAUCUUCAAGAAAAAUUAUCGUCUAAUUAGUUCACAUAAAAAUUCAGUUAUUUUAAUUCGAUAUGAUACAGUCGUGAUUAAGGUUGUGGCGUUGCAUUCGAGAACAGAAGCAAGCUGCAUGCGAUCGGCCAGUAAAAAUGCAAAUGGAAUGAAUGGAGCCCAUUCAUAGAUUCGUAACAGACAACGAGGCGUGCAAUCUUCGUCGUGAAAGUUACAAUCAUCUUGGAGAAACUGCCUCCCCACUUAUUCUGUUCAAAAUGUUCUAUCCCUGUCAUAGUAUUAAAGAUUUUACAAAAUUUGGCGAUUUUAUAAUCAAUUGUUUGUUUAUUUUAUCACUCCUUAUUACACGUUAUUGUUAUAUUAUUUCUGAAUAUAUUUAUACGCUAUAACAGAGAUGUUCCAAUGUACUGAGACAAUUUUAAAGAAAUUAUCACUAGAUUAUUACCAGAAAGCCCAAUUUACUAGAUUAUUAAUAGAACAAGGUUAUGACAGGAAAGAUCAUUUGAACAUUAACGAAUUAAAAUACUUGAAAUUAAAUUGCUAAUAUGUUUGGUAAAUAAUUAAUUAAAUUGGUAAAUAAGUAGAUUAAAAAUUAAUCCAUUAUUCUUCUAAAAAGCUCAUAUAUGGUAAAAUUCAUUUAAUUAAUAUAACCUAGUCCUAACCUAUUAAUGUUGAAGUAAUGACGUAUCUUGAGUCUAGUUAUUUGUUCUUUUCUUGUGAACAUCAUAACCUUUUUUACUUUUAAACACGACUUUUUUGCUCUCCAGACAAACAGGAAUAUCCAUGUUGUUCUUUUGUUUUCCAUUAAAUCGGAGACGAAUGUUACGCCGUGUAAAGUUACACGAACCAUGGCGUAACGCACGAGGGUAUAUAUACAACGACUCGUGUACAUUGUACUGGUGGACGAUACAUAAAGGGGUGUACGUAUCUUGUGUACAUCCAUUCUGAGCUGCCUCAGUUGUCUCAUUACUUUUGUGUAUAGUCGUGUAGCCGACGUACAUUGUUGCUAAGCCGGUUCCACGUAUUUAAUAUUCGAUCGACGAUAAAUCUCCGACAAGCUGACGGAACGUUCGCCAAAAUGUUGGAGCAUAUCUCGAUAUUCAUACCUUGCGCGUUUAUCAGAUUGGGAAACUAUGAUAGAUAUGCAUUUAUAUCUGAGUAAUUGAAUGAUGAGAAUUCGAAUAUUUGGUUAUGUGAAUUAAUCGAAAUUUUGGGAAUAUCGAGUACUUGGAAUUUGAUGGAUGCAAAAUAUUUGGCACUUUGGGGGCAUCGAGUAUUUGGAAUUUGGCGAAUAUGGGACAUUCGAAAUAUGAUAAAUGGCGAAUUAUUUGGUAUUUCAGGUAUACAGAGUAUUUGGAAUUUGGUGAAUUUCAAAUAUUACAAAUGGCGAAGAUAGAUAAAUGGCGAAGUAUUUGGUAUUUUAGGUAUACAGAGUAUUUGGAAUUUGGUGAAUUUCAAAUAUUACAAAUUUCUGAAAUAUUUGCAAUUAGAUUAACAUCUAAAAUAUUCAAUGUUUUUUGACCUUCAAAUAUCCGUAAAUGAAUAUUAAAUACUUGAAAUUCUGGAUGAAUUUGAAGAUUCCCAAUUUUAUAUACAGGGUGGUUGGCAACUGGUGGUACAAGCGGAAAGGGGGUGAUUCUACGCGAAAAAAGAAGUCGAAAAUAUAGAAUAAAAAUUUUUUUUUUAAUUUUUCCAUCGAGACAACGAUCUACAGUGAGAUCCGUUACAACGAGACGCGAUAAAGUGCACGCGUACCGAGCGAAAAUUCAAAGUCGAUUUUCUCGAAAACAAAGCCUCAAACGAAAAAUUUUUAUUCUAUAUUUUCGACUUCUUUUUUCGCGUAGAAUCACCCCCUUUCCGCUUGUACCACCAGUUACCAACCACCCUGUAUAUAAUUAUGUAUGAAUAUUUGAAUAUAUAAAUAAAUAAAUACAUAUAUAUAUAUAUUAAAAUUUAGUGAAUAAUAAAUAUUAAAUGUUCUUAUUUCAUUUUUACUGUCCCUCAAAUUUUCAUACAUAUCUGUUCCAACUUCUCCCAAAAAAUUUGUCUCUUCUUUUUGAUCAUAAAUUCUAGUACUGGAUUCCUAGUUGUCUAACGGGGAUUUUUUUUAGAAAACGAAUUUUCUGCUACGAGCGGAAUCAAAGGGAAAACUGGAGGACCAACGAGAAAUUUGGGCCGAGAGGAGAUGGUUGUUUCAUAAAUGUAGGUCGGUUACGAGAAAGGAGAACGAUUUUCUCUAGAAGCUGGCUAAGCUACGUGUAUCCACCGAGUUCGUUUGUCGCAGAAUCUCUUCUUUUCAUCUCUUGUUUAGUCAUAUUUUUCUUUUUUUUUUUUUUUUUUUUUUUAGAAUUGAUCAAAACAACCAAAUAUCAAAAAAUACCUAAACUUCCUUUUCACUGCAAUUUGACCAUCAAUCUCCUCUCUUCCUUUUUUUAAUUAUACAACGUUAUAAUUUUAAAUUUUAUUGGACUCAACAGCGUUAAGUUCUCGAACAAUCUAACUUAACAGAGAAGAAGAAGGAUAGAAACAGAAUUUUUCCAAAGUGUUCAAUAACGUUUCGAACAUUCGCACUUCGUUUUAGCUUAGCCACAGUGUUACAUACGCAUGAAAGUACAUAGACCAGUGUCAUUCUAGAGUUAAAUUUCUCUAAACUGCUUUAUCCUUUGCAUGUCAAAGCAGAAAAUUCAAUCGAACAAAGGAAAGAGCAUUUCCGACCUUGUACACGAGCCUGCAAAGGGUGAAGACACGGAAGAGAAACGGAAGAGGAAGAGGAAUGCGAGGGAUCCUCUUCCGUGAAAUACGGGUCACACUCGAGAGGAUAUGCAACGAUGGAAGAAAGCCCUGGAUAUUUCCAAUAACGAUUCGGCUCUAUCUGGAGCACCGGGUGGCUCGUUAUCGACGCCGAUUAUACUCGACUUUACCAAAGGAACAAGGCCUAUACAACCUGGAUACGUUCGGUUAUCCCCGAGGAGGGUUUUUAAUAAUAGCGAAACACGCAACAAUGCCCCGUAUCGGGCAAACCUGAUACAACCGUAAUUUUUCCUCUCUCCUCUCUCUUUUUUUUUUUUUUUUUUUACGAUUCAGGUUGCAUCAGGUACAUUGGUAGACUCGGUUCGAUCGAUCUAUCGGUUUUUAGCGAAUGUCUAUUCAAUUUGCAUCGGUCGAAAGGGACUUGUUAUCAGACUUAUUAAAAAGCAUGAAAAACGAGGGACUUUAUCGAUGCAUUAUGAGCUUGCAAUGGAAACCGAAGUCGACAUCGAUUGCGAGGCAGAUAUUUCCGGUUCCGGGAAGCUUUCUUAUAAUUGUCCGGGGCUAAUAAUCGUAGGUAUAAACGGUGGAUUUUCGUGCACACUCUACAUCGCAGAGCUAAUGAUGAUAAAUAGAUGGCGGAUUUUUAUGCAGGUUUAUAUAAUACGUACGAAGAAAUGUAAUAAUAAAAGAAAUUGAAUUAAACAUUCGUCGUACUGUUAAAGAUAUUAAAUAGAUCCGAAGAGAGAACCCUGUUCGAAUUUGAUAUUAGUCGUUGGUAACUUGAACUAAAAGUUGUAUUUUGCUAAACGAUAUUUUACCCAUUAAUAAUCGAAGUAACUUUGGAGAGAAAUUCCACGAGAAGAGGAUGAAAAAUUGGAAAUCGUAACCGUAAGGCGGAAGUAUUACGAAAUUUCUGACCUGAUACUUUUCAUAAUGGAAUAAAUAGUGUCCUAUUAGAAGAUUUAAGUCGUUCAAUUCAUUCCUGUGUCAAAGAUGACGUAAUUGAAACGUCCAAGGAGAACGAGACCGACGCGUGAAAAGAUAUCUGGAUACUGAGAGAAAAAUGUACGACCUCGGUACUCAGAUUCUUUAGCCAAUUUGCUUUUUUAUCUGCGGUUUACCGUAUCGGACGAUAGACAUGGAUAGCUAACGACAAUGAACAUUCGUACGAAUUCAGCCUCUUUCCGUCAUUGGCAAUUAAUAAAUCGUUAGUAGAAUUUUACAAAAUAAAAAUUGUAAUUUACAACACGCUGAUAAAUGCUGUUGCACGAGGCUAACGAAUUUGCUAAUAAGAGAAAAUGGAAUUUCACAAAUAAAUUUCAUGCUAUCUGAUUAUUAUAUUUGGCAUAAAUUAAGGAACAAGUUUGCUCAGAUUAAGAAACGAAGAACGAUUACUAACGAGAAUCUUUUCUCCUCUCGUAAUUCAGUCAAUUUUUCUAUACACCUGAUAAACUUAAAUUACGUCCAACGAAAGAUACGCAAUUAUCUACCGUUAUUAAUUUUAUGAGAAAAUGUAUUUUAAAUUAGAUAUAAUGCUAAAUAGGCGAGCGUGUUAGAAAUGGAAUAAAAAUUCAAUUGUUACGACCGUUCGCGGAGAGACGCGGUCAGCGAGAGGCGUAAAUUCUCGCUACGAUUGUGUUAAUCGACGCCGCGAAAUAGUCGUUCCCCUGUUUCGGUUAGGAUAACAGAGGUGGUUUAAUGAAUGUAACACUGUAUUAACAGGUUAACAUAGAACAAUAUAUUUUACAAUAAUAUGAUGAAGAUGUUACAGAAAUUUGACUCGACUUUGCGAUAUCUCUAGAUAAAUUCGUUUGCUCGUCAGAUUUGUCGAAGUGUCACGUUUGACUCGUCGGAAGGAACUGAACGCCCUUCGAUUAUUCCUUUGUCUCAUUUGGAAGACGACCCCCACUAUGCUCGGAUCACGCCACCGCUCGCGCCUAUGAUCACGUAUGCCCCUUCUAGUGUGAAAAACGUAACGGUCAAAAAUCGACGUUUCUAGAGCUCGCUGCUUGGCGACAACUAUGCUCUCGUCGAUACAUUAUAUAUGAUCCGGCGGGCAGAUAAGACGGUUUGCCUGCGACGUUGUAGGACCGCGAGCGACGAUUAAAAAAUACAGCCUGUGGUAAGCCUCGUGGCGUAACAUCAAUAUUAAGACGAAGGAAGAGCACUUUCAUCCCAGUCGAUUGGAUAUCCAAAAAAAGACUUACUUGCAAAGUGUUUCAAAGUCUAUCGAAAAGCUUCCUGCAAAACCUGUUCACACGCUUUUUCUCCAGCAAGUACCAGAGAACGUGUUUGAGUAUGCGUGCCUAAACUCGAUUCCGUCGUAUCGACCCUCGAACAUAUCCCCAGGGGUGGUGUAAGCAAGCCGCCGUAUCCAACGAAAGCAAAAAGGGAUUCCCCUCUGGGAAAUCGAUAUAUUUGUUUCUAUUAAAAAGCGAUGUUUCUUCUAUUUCACACACCUUGGUGGUUCUUAAUUGAUUUCGAAAAGAAAGCUGUAUGUUUUAUAAUGUAACGAGGGAAUUUCUAUUCUAUCAGUAUCUUUUAAUAUAGACUGAAACAAAUGAUACGCAUGUAUGGAAACAUAGCUAUACUAUACAGGGUGUCCCGGAAUAAAUAGACUUCUGCAGAUCCGAGCAAAUCUCAAGAAAUAUAAAACACGUACAUCUUAUAGAGUUGUUCAGUAGAUAAUUUUGAUCUUUUACGUGAAUGCAAGUCGUUUCAAACGCUCAUAAACGGCCGAGUUCGAUGACUUUAACUAUCCAGCGAAUUUCUCCCGUUGCUACGAGACGAUUCAAAAUUUUAAUUUAGAUCUAAAUCGUUUAAGAAAUUUAAAUCUGCAAGAUAAUAAUAAUAAUAAUAAUUUAUUUUUCAGUCUCCCUGGUCAUGAAAAAAGACUGGAUUUAUAGUUGUUAUGUGUAUUUUUAUUUGUCUUGCACUGUGAAUCAACUGUACUCUUUUAAAUUUAAAUCCUAUGAAUACUAAUCCGAUUCAAAAGGUUUAAAAAAUUUACGUUUGAAAGAUAUUAACGUGAUCGGAAACGUUUGAAAAAUUAAAAUCUAACAGACGUUAGUUGGAUCUAAAACAUUUCAAAAAUUUCAAUUUGGGACAUAUUAAGCCACUGUAAAAUAUUACAAAAAGUUCAAUUCAAAAGAUAAUAAUUCCAUUUAUAUGGUUUGUGUGCCUCGUAUAAUCCGUAGCAAUACCAUCGAAACAAUUCGCAACGUUCUAUGAAUCAACCAAAUUACGGUAAAACCUUCUAAUUUUUACAAAUCGCUUAACCAGUCGUAUGAAACUAUAAAAUCGUAAAUCGAUUUUUAACCGAUUUCACGAUUUCAUCACGGCACACAGAUAAGAUAAAAAAAGAAUAUACAUUGCGCAUGUGCGGAUGAAAACGCGUGCGUGUAGGCGGACAGAAUCGAUGCGUUCGCGUGCAAAUUGCGAGGACCGCUGCGACCAACAUGAACGCAACGCGGAAGGAUCGAGUUUAUUCAAAUUCGAUGAUGCACGACUCUACCACCGUUGCUCGACUUGUAUUUCCUGGUCAGUGGAUUUUUCGUGUCCGUAACACGAUAACGGGUUUCCGCGGAAACGCUCGCUUAAUUCGAAACGAUCUAGCGGAACGCGGAAGGAUCAGGUUCAUUUAAAUUCGUAUAUGUUUCACGAGUAAAAAUUUUACGAACGCUGGCAACACUGUUCGUUGCGAUACUGCAACGAGAAGAGAAGCUCGUGAAAUACGAAAUUAUACGAAGUAUCACGGUGAUGACCGAAUUUGACAAGCGUACAACCUGAAUUGCCGCGUAUUUUUGGAGCGAUUGAAAAGAUUCAAAAGGUCGGUCGGAAAGUUCGUUCUGAUUUACAUUUCCAUUCGAUCAACAUUUAUUGAAUUACGUGGGUGCGAUUUUGUUCCACGAUCUUUCUCCAUCUUUCACGCAAUUCGAAUAUUCCAUCCUUCGUCAUUCAUUACAAAGAGAGAAAGAUAUAUGAUUUAUAUUCAAAAGUACAAAAGUUUAUUACCAUCAGUUGACUAUGAAUUUCUAGUUUAAAUUUAUAGCAUCAAUUUAUAGUUUCAAUAAGUGAUUCGAUUUUAAUUGAUUUCCAGUUCGUUUGAAUUGUUUUACUCAAAUUAUUGUAAAGUGGAGCUGUCUCUUUAAUAUGUAUUGCAGCCUUUUCAAUUGUUAAUCCAUUCAUUGUUAUUCGACUCCUUGUUCACAUUACCAUGGAUACAUCAAAGAUAAGAGUGAAAAGUAGUCAGGUCAUUUCUUACUUCUAGCCACAUAUUACAUAUUUCUUUAGUUUAAUUAAGAAUUGUUGGUCGAAAAUGUAUACUUGUGUUUGGUAUUAUUUCGAUCGUACGAGUCUGGAUAAUUCGACUAGAACUUGUUACAUCUCGUAACGAUAUAAUAAAGAAUAAGAGAAAUAUAUUUUCUUACUUUGGUCAUUCGAUACCAGAUUGAAUUACAUCGAUAUGGAUCACAGAUAACGCCUAGGUCUGCCUUGAUCCUGCAGUUUCAGAAAUUGCUAGAGAUAACUUCUGGCCAUAUAGCAGAGUAAAUUUCUGGCCAUAUAUAUCCGAACACUAUUAUCUUAAUAAACGAUUUACAUUAAAAGGACUGCUGUUUUGUAUUUUGUUUAAAAGCUACUGACAAUGAUAAUAAGUUAGUUAUAUAUUGUCCACCCUGUAUUGAAUUAAACUGUAUAUUUGUAUUGUACCUUAAAAUGAAAUUAAUACAAUAAUAUUCCUAUUUAAAAAAAAAAGAAAGAUAAAAUCUGAAUAAGAUUAAAACUGUAUAAU